rnacentral:rRNA from 1 species
AACGAACGUUGGCGGCGUGCCUAACACAUGCAAGUCGAGCGCGGGCAGGACUUCGGUCCUGUUCCGAGCGGCGCACGGGUGAGUAACACGUGAGUAACCUGCCUCGAAGUUUGGGAUAACCGCCCGAAAGGGUGGCUAAUACCGGAUAAGCCCCCACUGGCACAGGCCAGAGAGGGAAAAGCCUUGGCGCUUCGAGAUGGGCUCGCGUCCCAUUAGCUAGUUGGUGAGGUAACGGCUCACCAAGGCGAAGAUGGGUAGCUGGUCUGAGAGGAUGAUCAGCCACACUGGAACUGAGACACGGUCCAGACUCCUACGGGAGGCAGCAGUGGGGAAUAUUGCGCAAUGGGCGAAAGCCUGACGCAGCAACGCCGCGUGGGUGAAGAAGGUC